rnacentral:rRNA from 1 species
AACGAACGCUGGCGGCAGGCUUAACACAUGCAAGUCGAACGCACCUUUCGGGGUGAGUGGCAGACGGGUGAGUAACGCGUGGGAAUCUACCCUUCUCUACGGGAUAGCUCCGGGAAACUGGAAUUAAUACCGUAUACGUCCUGAGGGAGAAAGAUUUAUCGGGGAAGGAUGAGCCCGCGUUGGAUUAGCUAGUUGGUGGGGUAAAGGCCUACCAAGGCGACGAUCCAUAGCUGGUCUAAGAGGAUGAUCAGCCACAUUGGGACUGAGACACGGCCCAAACUCCUACGGGAGGCAGCAGUGGGGAAUAUUGGACAAUGGGCGCAAGCCUGAACCAGCCAUGCCGCGUGAGUGAUGAAGGCCCUAGGGUUGUAAAGCUCUUUCAGUGGGGACGAUAAUGACGGUACCCACAGAAGAAGCCCCGGCUAACUUCGUG